UGUUAUGCUGUGGUCAAAAAUGUCAAAAGGACAAUUAAGAAACAACUGUGACUGGAAAUAUUUUCCAAAGCAUGUUGCAAGUGGAGGCACAUCCGAGGAUGGGAACUGAAGCCAGGGCCCCGAGCACCUGUAGCCAUUAAAGGCUGCCUGAUGUCCUUGCACAACUCACUCUCUAUAAUUUUGGAUUGUCACCAGCCAGUCACCUUUCAAAAGCCAGUGCUGGCCAACAACAGUCUGGAUAAUUCAACUCUGUUCACUCUUUCUCAGACUUUUGGCUAAUAUCAUGUGUGCAGAUUCAAAUAAUAUGAAACCUACUAUUUUACACAAAUUAUCUCCUUCAAUUCCAGUCUUUCUAUUUAUUUCAUCCAAAUGGAACCAAUUAAUAAUCCUUCUGAGACAGUUCUCCCUCCCUUGCUUUAUCCUGGAUAACUUUCUAUACCCAGAGCCUCUGCCUUGUCCUGGUGCUCUGUAACCCCACACUGUCACUCCUCAGACCCCUGAGAGACACACGAGGAUCACGACUUUCCCCUGCCCACAGAGUGAGCCUGGUUUGCCUUUCUAGCCAGAGUGGCUCAGGUCCAUUUCUCAGACUCUUUAUGAGGAUAUU